CUUCUGUCUGAGUUCAGCAUUACGUAGUAUUAAUUGGAUUGAAACAUGUAAUUAUUCUGUGCAUGGUCAUCUUCACAAAUCAGCUAAUUCGUUGUUUACUUACAAAUGAUUGAUUUAAUUCAGCAGUGAUUUGCUACUAAAAAACUUACGGAGCUGCAGCUUGCGGCCAUUUCGUCCACAAUGAAAAUAUUUCGGACUUUUGAAGUCUUGGUAACUUCUGACAACAGCAAAUGGCUGUCCAACCCCUUCUUUGAGCAGUUGAGGCUCUUCAGACACAGCAGAGCAGUCGUGAAGGUAUGAAAGGGAGAAGUAUCUUAAGUGGCUGUCACGCAAGGCUGCUGGGCUUCCUGUUAGCAAUGACAUCAGCUGAGACACUGGGGGAACUGAAAUCUUGUUUUCCUUUAAGAUGGUGUAGAAAAGGUCAAGAGGUGUGACCUUUCCCUGUUAAAUGUUAAGGCCAGUUGAUGGCAAAACCCAAACAACACAAGUGGAACAUAAUGGUGCGUGGAACAGGUUUUGAAUAGUGUGCGACGGGUUUCGGAACCAGGAAGCUGCUGGGCGACAUGAACUUUUGCUUCAUUAGAUUCAGGCACGUGGCAGAUAUGUGCACUUGUUCCUAAAUUUGUGUCUGUGUUGCACUGGAUGCGGGAAAGUAAUGUUAGCUAUUGGGUCAUCUUGAUUUUAUAAAUUAUUAUUGGAUUCACGUUUUGAAAAUAAACUAUAGGUUCCUACAUUUCUUUUUUUGUUGCGUAGUAUUUCAGUAUAUACUCUACAGCUGUAGGAUACAAAAAGUUAUUUGUCAUUCAACCCUUUUUCUGAAGAAACUAAAACUUGUGGCAGAUCUUUGUAGUGAUAAGGAGAUGGUAAACCUCCUCUAAUUAAUACAUACAACAAAUGCUUAUGUAGAAAAAUCACAUUUCAAAGACCAUUCAAGGUUUGUCCCCCCUCUUCUUGCCUUCCCAUAAUAGCACCCAACAGCGCCACCAGGUUCUCACGUCAACUCCCAAUAUUUGUAAAUGUAGUGAAUGGAAAUGUGGUGGAAACGCAUAUUAAUCAACAUUUUCUUCAGCUAACUUUAGAAGAAAAUUAAGACGUCUUGAGUGAUUUUACCGGGGUGAAGGAGUUUGUGUGAUUUAGAGAUUUCGUCUUUUAGCCUUUGAACAACAGAUCUAGUCAUCCUGCCCACUAACAGGGUUUGACACAGCUGUCACGAGUUAUUGAGGCCUCUUAGAUGGACCAAACCGGCUUCUGAAAGCAAGAAGUGUAAUUCUACUGCACUGGAGCAGAUGCUCUCUAUAGUAAAGUGCUCCUAAAUUACUGUCCAAGAUAAUUGAUUUGAAUUAAAAGUUAUUCAACUGUAGCAGUGAUACCAAAUAAGCUUUUUUAAAUUUUUUUUUUUAAUAAGUAUUCUAAAACAUUUCAGUUUAGCGUUGUCCACUGUAAACACAACUUUGUUUUUCAGAAAAUUUUGAAAGUGAGAGCUUGCAUGUUCUGUUUGAGGGCAACUUUAGCCCGAGGGAGGCAUUGAGUGAUGUUUCCAAAAGUCUCCAUGAGCCCCCCCCCUCUCCUUUCUUCUUUUAUAAAAACUGAAAGUUCAACACUGUCGUUAGAGGCAUUCUUGCCUGCCUCGCUAGGCUGACACACACUAGCCACUAAUGCACACUUAUGCACAGUUCUAUAUAAUGAAAUUCUUCCAGAGGGUCAGUUAAAGUUAAUGUGUUCUUUAUAUUCUCAUGUGAAAGAUGCCAUGCUCAGCGACCUUUGUGUGCACAGAACUACAGUACGUUUGUGAGUUUCUGUGCAACUCUGUUGUGCACUGAAAGCAGUAUCGGAUGAAUUAUAUCAUACUGCACAAUGUGAAGAUAAAGAUGUAAAAAAUCUGCACUUUCAUCUCUCGUCUGCUCUCUGUGCCGCUGGCCUCUACAAAGAUAUUUGUAAGAAAUAGGUGUAUAGGUCAAGUUGAUUAUCUCUUGUGCUGCUUAAAAUAUUAACUCUACAAAUACUUCUGUCGUUUGGAAAUAAGCUCAACGUGUGAAGAAAGAAGAGAAGGGCUGUUGCUGCGCCUCAUCUUUCUUGUACAUAAGCUGUUUUGUGAGUUAUUCAGGCCAAAAGUAAAGCUUCUGCAUUACACUCACAGCUGUUCACAAGAAGAGGCUCAAGAAAACGGCCGCUUCUGAGUCGUCCUUUCUUUUCUGCUCUGUCUUGGAGCUGUUUGGGAGAGAGGGAGGGGAGGUGCAGGGAGGAGGAGGAGUAAGGUUGGAGUCCCACACAAGGGGGAACCACUGGCCAAAGCCGUUUCAUACUGUGUUCCUCUGAGCUGUUUGUAUUCGCUGGGAGUGAGCGUGCACCUGUAUCUUUCAGGACGCACUGGUCUCUCUCAUUCCAACUGCUUGUUUGUGAGUGCUGUCAUGCCAGCGGCUCGUGCAGCAGACCAGCAGGAGGGAGGCAGAACUGGACCGGGCAGUCUCAAAAAUAACAAAUACUCAGAGCAAAGGAAUUGUGUUUGGAGAGUUUCUGCCUCCAUUUUGAGACAAAAGAGAUCUGAGCAGCAAACUUGCCUUGCCGGGGAUGAAGGACUGACAACAAGCAACCUCUUGUGUGGAAGAGGCUUCCUGUGGGAACUUCUGUAGAGGAUGGAAUCGGCGACCAUGUUUGCCAACGGUUUCUUAAUUUAUGCGAAAGCGCUGGCCUACACUACCGCUCAAGCCUGACUCCAUCUGAUUCCAGAGGACGUCUGACCAUCAGAUUCAGCCUGUGCCCCACUGGUAUGUUGGCAGUUUCUAAUACUCACAGUUCUCUCUGCUAGCUUGGCUCAGUGUAGUUUCUUAUCAGCACUAUACGAUCUGUACCUGAUCAUUUUUUCCACAGUGCAUGUUUUUGACGGUGUUUGCUGAUCACACUAAAUAUUUUCUUACGUCUAUGGCAGGUAGUAGGGACAGGAGUAACAGUGUUCAUUAUGAAAACGCAUUUAUCUGACAAUAGAAAGAAUUCAAAAAAACUACCACUUUUGUUUUCAGAAUUAAAACCGGAGUCAUAUUUUAUUUUGUUUGCACGAUUUAAUAUGAUUUCACAGUCUCAAUCUUAUUUUUUACGCAAAGAUUGCGGAUUUCCUGUAAAAUGCUUUUGCAUCCUUGUUGUGUGACUUUCGCUUGUAUCAGUCUCAGGCCAUUUUAUUCUUAUUGUGGUAAUUAAUAAAAAAAAGCCAUACUGCGGCACAAAUAUAUUUUCUAAAUUAAAAUCAUUCAUAAGAAGGUGGCAUUUUGCAUUUUUUUAUGUCCAGAUGAGAAACACUGUACAGAACGUUAACGUGUGACAUUUUAAAAAUAAAUGUUGACCUCCAAA